CCUACGGGAGGCAGCAGUAGGGAAUAUUGCUCAAUGGGGGAAACCCUGAAGCAGCAACGCCGCGUGGAGGAUGAAGGUUUUAGGAUUGUAAACUCCUUUUGUUAGAGAAGAUAAUGACGGUAUCUACCGAAUAAGCACCGGCUAACUCCGUGCCAGCAGCCGCGGUAAUACGGAGGGUGCAAGCGUUACUCGGAAUCCAUGGGCGUAAAUAGUGCGUAGGCGGGAUAGGAAGUCAGAUGUGAAAUGCUGUGGCUUAACCAUAGAACUGCAUUUGAAACUGUUAUUCUGGAUGAUGGGAGAGGUAGGAGGAAUUCUUGUAGUAGGGGUAUAAGCAGAAGAGAUGAGGAAGA
rnacentral:rRNA from 1 species